rnacentral:rRNA from 1 species
AUUGAACGCUGGCGGCAGGCCUAACACAUGCAAGUCGAGCGAGCGGCGGACGGGUGAGUAAUGUAUGGGGACUGCCCGAUAGAGGGGGAUAACUACUGGAAACGGUGGCUAAUACCGCAUACUAUCGGAUAACCCAUAUGGGAUUAGCUAGUAGGUGGGGUAAAGGCUCACCUAGGCGACGAUCCCUAGCUGGUCUGAGAGGAUGAUCAGCCACACUGGGAUGGAGACACGGCCCAGACUCCGAGGGAGGCAGAAGUGGGGAAUAUUGCACAAGGGGCGAAAGCCGGAUGCAGCCAUGCCGCGUGGAGGAAGAAGGCCUUAGGGUUGUAAAGUACUUUCAGCGGGGAGGCGUUACCCGAAGAAGAAGCACCGGCUAACUCCGUGCCAGCAGCCGCGGUAAUUC